rnacentral:tRNA from 1 species
GGGUAUCGCCAAGCGGUAAGGCACCGGUUUUUGAUACCGGCGGUCACAGGUUCGAAUCCCGUCGUAGCCACCA